rnacentral:lncRNA from 1 species
AUGUCGAAUGACCAGCGGAUAAACUCUCAGGUGAAGAGCCUGAGGCCGGUGACAGUCCAGUUCUACUCCAAGUACAUCCUUACGGUGGCUCACAGGACAAGGCGACAUUCCUGUCCUGCCAGAAGAGAAGAGAAACUUCAGAGUCUUCAUGAAGUUCAACCAAAACUCUCAAACUCCAUUCCUCGAAGGCCGGUGUCAUGCAACUUUUCCAUGCGCCCUCGAGGACUGGAGUUUGAGACCCCUGCCGUAUGGUGUUCAUGCAGUUUUCUACCCCACAGUUACAGCAUGUCUGACUGCCUGUUCAGCAUAUGCAAAAAUAUAUGAGUUUAAGCAUGUGAUGACUAAGGCCUUCCAUUAUGGUGUUUGUCAUCACAUGUCACAGACAUCUGGAUGAUCAUUUGGAAUAAACAAAAAAACAAAAAACUUGUUACUUCAUCUUUUAUCUUCAUUAUUAUUAUUAUUUUUCUUAUUUUACAUUUUUCAUUGUUAGGCAUUGGGUUUAUUUGUAGUAGUCCUUUCCAGCUUCUUUCCCUCUUCCAUGUUACUGUGUCAGCUUGUCAGCAUCUAUUUGGGGUUGGAAGUGGAACAGGAAGUAAGGAACAGAAAGUGCCAUUUAAACCAGGAGAGGUUCUUAUAUUUCAGAAGAAGGGAUUAAUUCAAAAGAAAUGACCUCAAUGCCAUAUUUUAUUUAGGAACCCUAGAGAGCACUUUGCAAAAUAACACAUUAUUAUAAUUUCACCCUCAGAUGAGCCAAGCUACGACUGUCAGGGAAGGUGAUGUAGGUACAGAGCAUGUGAGAGUGGUUAAGUUAAUGUCUCUUGUCUAGAUGAAGGCACAGGAGGGAUCAAUGGCACGGCGUAGAGAUUCAGUAUCUUCAGUCUUCAGUGGACACUCCAUUUCUGGCACAAAACACCUGUAAAAGAUGGUCGAUUUAGGAGGUGACCCGACAACUUCAGCCUGUCAAACAUAGCAAUGGAGCAGUAUGUUUAAAAAAAAAAAAAAUUAAUUAAGCAUGCACUCAGUACCCUAAGAAUUAUUAUGAUAGUUAAACACAGUGAUAGUUGUAUAUCAUAUUAUAUUACUUCAAACAGAGGUGAUCCAGUAACGCUGCACUAAUGAAUAAGACUAACUAUUCACUUUAGCUAAAGUUAUUAAGUUUGCUAAAGAGUUGGGAUGCUGUGUAAGACAUAAA